AGGAUGUACAGUAGGCCUCGGAUUUCCUUCUAUCAUUGCACUAAAAGCGUUACGUUUCAAUUAAAAUUAACUCCUCUUUCAAAAUCUCUUCCUUGGUUUGAAUGAUCAAAUGGAUGAUAAUCAGCAUCAAUACCAACGGUGCAACCGACGAGGCACCCCAAACUGGCGGUGUAGUGGGAGAGCUUUGACUGGCAAGUCUUUAUGCCAUAAACACUAUCUCUAUUCCUUGCAAAGUUGUGGUAAAAAGGUGGAUAUGGAGAAUAUUGGUGAAAGUGGCAGUGAGGGUGGAACUCAAAUGUGUACUCAAAGGAAGAAGCGAAAGCGUCAAGUAAUAGGUCAAGGGAGUUUAAAUCCCGUGGUGGUGGACGAAGUAAGGGAGCAUGACGGGAAUGAACAAGUCAAAGUCACCGCUGGAAAUGAUGGUGAUCAAGGAACUCAGAGCUGGUUUGUUGAAGGCAGUGGUGGUGUUGAAAGUGUUUUGGAGUGGUUUGGUGAAGAUGGUGGUGUAAAUGGGGGUGAAACUUUGAAGCUCUGGGGUGUUGAAGCUGGGUUUGGACUUGCCAUUGGUGGGUCUGGUGAAGCUACUCCUGGGGUUCAAGGAGGGUUUGGUGGAGAAACUGGUGGACAUAAUGGUGAGGUCGUUGAUUGCAAAGGUUGCAACCCAUGGUUUGGUGUAGAUGGUAUAUUUGGCAGUCUUGGUGGUGGAGAAAUUCAGAUGGGUGGGUCUGGUGGGGUUCCAUUUGGAAAUGGUGGAAUGGGUCUUGCUGAUGGACUAAUUCAAGGCCUAUUUAGUGGACCAAAUGAGGGUUUGAAUGUUGGUGUUGAAGGAACCCAGUGCUUCUCUGGUGAAGCUGAGUAUGACAAUGUGGAAGGUAAAGGCAUUCAGGGGUUGUUUGAUGAAAUUGCAUGUGGAAAUGGAUGUGAAACCCAUCUUGCUGGCGAGGGAAAUCGAGGUCAAGGUGGCUACUUUGAAAAUGCUGGCAUGCAUCGAGGCAGUAAGGAUGGGGGAGGCCAGGUUAAGGUUAAGCGUGGUAGGCCAAAGGGUUCAAAGAAUAAGAAGAAAAUUCUUGCUGCUGAACAAAAUACUGAAGGGUUAAGCGAUAGUAAGGUUAAAAAGCAAGGCCCCUUUAAGGGCUCAAAGAAAAUCCAAAAAAGUCUUUCAGGUGAAUGCCACAAUGGAGGAGAUGAUAUUGGUAGAAGGAAAGAGAAUCUAGAUCAGGAAAUGGUUUCAAAGGAAGAGAAGGAAGAUGUUGCUGUAGAGGCAAAUGAAACUGUGCAAUUGAAGACUAAACGUGGUAGGCCAAAGGGUUCAAAGAAUAAGAAGAAAAUUGUUGCUGCCGAACAAAGAAUCGAAGGGUUAAGUGAAGUUGGUGGUGAUGGUAAGCUUGGAAAUGAGAUUGUUUGCGCAAUAGAGAAGCAAGGUCCGCCAAAGGGCUCAAAGAAGAAGGAGAUUAGCCUUCCAGGUGAGAAUCAAGACAUGUCUUGUCAUAUUGUGGGGGGCAAUAAUGAUGGCGGAGAUCAAACUUUGAGGCCUAUGUUUUGGGAGAAAGAGAAAACUACCUUUCUACGGGCAGGAGAUGGGGUAAUGCCUUGUGAAGUUGCCGGUAACGAUGCAGGACGAAAUAAUGCGGGUAAAAGGAUAGAGAAACAAGGUCAGCAACAGGGGCCAAAGAAAGAGAAGAAAAAUCUUGCCGGAGAGGUAAGUGAGAAUGCGCAGUUGAAAGGGAGGCAUGGUGGACCAAAGAGUGCUAAGAAUCAGAAGAAAAUUAUUGUUGAAGAAAAUCGAGAUAAGUCUGGUAAAGCUGAGGGUGGUGAAGGUGCAGUUGGAAUUCAGAACGGAAAUAACAAUGUCCUACCAAAGAAAAAUCGUGGCCGGCCAAAGGGUUCAAAGAAUAAGCAGAAAAGGCGUAGUGAUGAAAAAAUUGGACUUUCAAGUGUACAGCAGACCUUGCAAUCAAAGGAUAAGCAAUGUUUUCUUGAAAUUUCAAAGGAUAACAAGGAAAAUAACGAAGGUAGUGAGACUCAGGGAGUGCCUGUUGAAAUUGUGGGGGUUUAUUAUGGUGAUAAAGGACCUGUAUUAGUGAGGACUGCCCUUGUAAGGGAGGAAGAUAAGGUAAUGCCUGGUGAAGCUAUUACAGGUGGGUGUGAGAUGAAUUCUCUUGUAGACAAGGAAGGUAGGGGACUUCCCAUAGAAAGAUCUGGUGCUAAUGAAGGUAAAAAUGAGAUUAUUGGUCCUAAGGUUAAAGAUUGGCGUGUAGAGGAUUUGAAGAACAAGGAGCCUACUGUUACUGCAAAAGAAGAAAGCCAUCAAAGUGGGGAAGCUAUUGGCAAGAAUGAUAGUGGAAAUGAGGGGCUAAAGCGGAAGCGAGGCCGACCAAAAGGUUCAAAGAAUAAGAGAACACUUUUUUUGGGCAUGGUGUCUGUGAGGAAGAAGUAUAAAAUUAACAAGUCUUGUGCGCAGAUAGAACAGGGGGAAGGAAAUAAUUUGAAAAUGAGCCACAAUGUUUCAGGUAAGCAUCUUCAAGGCAGUUUAAACAUGAAAAAGAAAACACUAGCAGCUGGCAUUCGGGGCAGCUUAACUGCUGAUUUGGGCAAUGCUCAAAAGAAGAGUAGAGGGAGGAAAAAGAAGUCUAGUAGUCAAUCAGAAACUUCAGUUUCAUCAGAUGAUACCAGCCAGAAGCAUGUGCGGAGGGGUUUGAUGUGCCACCAAUGCUGGAGGACUGAUAGGAGUGUUGUCAAUUGUUCCAAAUGCAAAAGGAAACGCUAUUGCUAUGAGUGCCUUGCAAAAUGGUAUCCAGAGAAAACAAGAGAGGAAGUAGAAGCUGCUUGUCCAUUUUGUCGAGGCAAUUGUAAUUGCAGAUUAUGCCUUAGGGAGAAAUUAGUUGUCAUGGAUGAGCAUGAGGAAGCAGAUACAAGUAUCAAAUUGCAAAAGUUGCUUUAUUUGCUACACAAAAUUCUGCCUCUCCUUCGGCAUGUACAACAGGAGCAACAUGCUGAGUUAGAGCUGGAAACCAGUAUACGCGGUGUGCAAUUGACAGAACAAGAUAUAAUGGUAUCUGUCUUAGAUGAUGAUGAUCGGGUCUAUUGUGACAAUUGCAAUACAUCCAUAGUCAAUUUCCACAGAAGCUGCCCAAAUCCUGAUUGUUCUUAUGAUCUAUGUAUCACAUGUUGUCAUGAAAUUAGAAAAGGAUCUCAGCCUGGAGGUAAUGAAGCAAAAUUUUCUCACCAGCAGUCUGUUGAAAGAGUAAAUAGUCAAGGUGCAGAUUCAGAUGACCAGAUUCCUACAGUGACGGUAAGAUGUGAUUGGAAGAGCCUUGUGUCAACUGAGUGCACAUCUGGCAUGUCAUGUAACUCUCUUGAUUGGAGAGCUGAGGCAGAUGGUAGGAUUCCUUGUCCUCCAAAAGGAAGGGGCGGUUGUGGUAGUGAGACACUUUCACUAAGACGCUUCUUUGGAGCUAAUUUGGUUGAUCAACUGAUUCAGAAUGCUGAGGAACUUACUGUCAAUUUUCAGUUACCUGAUAUUGAGUUUUCUGAAGGGUGUUCUAUGUGUCAUACCAGCAGCUCUGCAGGAAAUGAAGCAGACAAUUUUGAAGUUAGGCAGGCAGCUUAUAGAGAGAACAGUCAUGACAAUUUUGUGUACUGCCCGAAUGUUAUCCAGUUGGAAGACAAUAAUAUUCAGCAUUUUCAAAUGCAUUGGAUGCGAGGUGAACCUGUUAUUGUUAGAAAUGUACUUGAAAAAAGUUCUGGUCUUAGUUGGGAACCGAUGGUUAUGUGGAGGGCUUUCAUUGGUGCAAAAAAGAUAUUAAAAGAGGAGGCAAAGAGGGUUAAGGCAAUUGAUUGCUUGGAUUGGUGUGAGGUUGAAAUAAAUAUAAGGCGGUUCUUCAAAGGCUACUUGGAGGGUCGUAGGUAUAGGAAUGGAUGGCCAGAGAUGUUGAAGUUGAAGGAUUGGCCUGCAUCAAAUUCAUUUGAAGAGUGUUUGCCAAGGCACGGUGCUGAAUUUAUUGCUAUGCUUCCUUUUAAAGAUUAUACUCAUCCAAAUUCCGGUAUCCUAAAUCUUGCUACCAAACUUCCUGCUGUAUUGAAGCCGGAUUUGGGGCCCAAAACUUACAUUGCUUAUGGAUCUUUGAAAGAACUUGGCAGAGGUGAUUCAGUGACAAAACUACAUUGUGACAUUUCUGAUGCGGUUAAUGUGCUGACACAUGCGACUGAUGUGAAGAUUCCCCCAUGGCAGACUAAAAUCAUAGAUAAAUUGCAGAAGAAAUAUGAAGCUGAAAACAUGCAUCCACGCUGCUGUGGUCAGACACGGAAGGUGUCACAGAUAUUGGGAAGAAAGCGGCGAAAGAGACCUCAUAAAGGUGGAAGCAAGAAUCCUGAAUAUUCUGCAAAACUAGACAAUUUGGCAGGCAAGAUUGAGGAUGUUGCUGAGUGUAGUUUCUCCUUGCCAGGUGUUGAUACAUGCUCCAACUCUGCUGCCAUUGGAGAACUUCAAUCUACACAUCAGCUUGAUUCUAAACAUGGAAUGAUUGAGGAAAUGAUGUGUUAUCAAAAACAUAACCACAACAUAGAAGGGCAAACACAUAAUACCGUUGAGGGAGGUUCUCUUAAUCAAAAUGAGGAUUUAGGGUCUGUAAGACCUGAUACAAAUACGACUAGAGAGUCUGUUACAGAAAAUCCGUCUUCAGACAAUGCACAUGGUGGUGCUGUUUGGGAUAUUUUCCGUAGGGAGGAUGUACCUAAGUUAAUUGAAUACUUACGGAAGCAUCAGAAAGAAUUCCGUCACAUAAGUAACCUUCCUGUAAAUUCUGUUAUUCAUCCUAUUCAUGAUCAGACCCUUUAUCUCAGUGAGAAACAUAAAAAGCAGCUGAAGGAGGAGUUCAAUGUUGAACCUUGGACAUUUGAGCAACAUGUCGGUGAAGCUGUUUUCAUUCCUGCAGGAUGCCCACAUCAAGUAAGAAAUAGACAGUCAUGCAUUAAAGUAGCCCUUGAUUUUGUGUCCCCCGACAAUGUGCAAGAAUGCAUCCGAUUGACAGAAGAGUUCCGCUUGCUCCCCAAAACCCAUAGAGCUAAGGAAGAUAAAUUGGAGGUGAAGAAGAUGGCAAUAUAUGCUGCAACUCUUGCAGUAAGUGAGGCCAAAAAACUGAGUGCAAACCUCAAGUAAGGUCAAGUUUGCUCUUUAACUCUUAUCUCCUGUUGAUGAUUGUAAUUUAGUUUAACUCUCGGAAAUAAUAUGUUUGGAGACUUAGCAUAAUUUUUAGAUGUCUUUUUAAGCAGCUGCUACAUGUGAAGUUGCUAACUCAAAUGAAUAUGUUUUGACUGGAGUAUUUCUCCGCUGUUUCUUUAGUUAGUAUUCACCAUCAGAGAAAAUAUGCAGAUUCCUUAGAGCUUCCUUAAUUAAUAGGGGGAACUUCAUUAGCUGAUAAAAUUGCGGAUUCCUUGAAGCUUGCUAUUACCAGAAUUUGACGGGGAUUGAACCAUUAAAGAGGAUUUCUAUGACUGAACCAAUCACAACAUCAAAGCAAAGAACUCAUUUUAAUGAACAAGGGCAAAUGAACAUAUAUCUGGCUCAUUAUUAACAUCGAAUAGAUGAAUAAAACCAUCAUAUUUCUUGAAAGGUUGAUCAGAGAUUGUAUAGUGAAAUGAGGUAUUUGUGGUUCUUGAUUAGAAUUUUAUUCUCUGUUAUCCAAAGCUUGAACCCUUUGCUUGCCUUUUCAAUUGUGAACCCAAUGCCAAGCAGCUAUGACUACACACCUACAAGGAUAUUUCUGGAAAUUGAGUUUUAACAACAGAAGUUAAGCUAAGCCACAUGCAUCUAUGUUGCAGGGCUGGAAAGAACAUCCUGUUUUUUAUUUCAUUGACAAGGGGAUUUCAUUAAAGACGUUUUCCUAUUGCGGUGGAGGUGUAAAGCAUCUGCCAAGCCAAUGCACUGGGGGAUGUGCCUGUUGAUUGGUAUAAACAUGCUGCUCUUUCUGCUGAUACUAAGAUGGCAAUGGUAAAGCCUCCCACGGAAGUUGAUAGAGGUAAACAAUUAGAUAAAUAGGGAGGGUAUCAGACAUCAGCUUGGCCUAUAGAGCUACUCUUUAUCGGAGCAUCUUUUGACAAAUUGGCAAAGCCGGUUGCAAUGGACUUUAGAGACUAUAGAUAUGGAUUUCAGUACUGGGCUAUUUAUAUUAUAACAGCUAACAGCAAGGAAUUUUUAUCUAAGUCUGCAUACAUUUGUUUUAGACAUGAGGAAAAAAAAAAGAAAUUAUUAAAUAGAUACUUUAGUAAUUAUAUGACAGGUGACUAGGUAAGUUACCUGCAACUUCAAUGCUUCACUUGAUAUGUAAACAUUAGUAAGUUAUCUAAUAUAAGAUUGUGUUUA